CUCAGGAUGAACGCUGGCGGCGUGCCUAAUACAUGCAAGUCGAGCGAACGGACGAGAAGCUUGCUUCUCUGAUGUUAGCGGCGGACGGGUGAGUAACACGUGGAUAACCUACCUAUAAGACUGGGAUAACUUCGGGAAACCGGAGCUAAUACCGGAUAAUAUUUUGAACCGCAUGGUUCAAAAGUGAAAGACGGUCUUGCUGUCACUUAUAGAUGGAUCCGCGCUGCAUUAGCUAGUUGGUAAGGUAACGGCUUACCAAGGCAACGAUGCAUAGCCGACCUGAGAGGGUGAUCGGCCACACUGGAACUGAGACACGGUCCAGACUCCUACGGGAGGCAGCAGUAGGGAAUCUUCCGCAAUGGGCGAAAGCCUGACGGAGCAACGCCGCGUGAGUGAUGAAGGUCUUCGGAUCGUAAAACUCUGUCAUUAGGGAAGAACAUAUGUGUAAGUAACUGUGCACAUCUUGACGGUACCUAAUCAGAAAGCCACGGCUAACUACGUGCCAGCAGCCGCGGUAAUACGUAGGUGGCAAGCGUUAUCCGGAAUUAUUGGGCGUAAAGCGCGCGUAGGCGGUUUUUUAAGUCUGAUGUGAAAGCCCACGGCUCAACCGUGGAGGGUCAUUGGAAACUGGAAAACUUGAGUGCAGAAGAGGAAAGUGGAAUUCCAUGUGUAGCGGUGAAAUGCGCAGAGAUAUGGAGGAACACCAGUGGCGAAGGCGACUUUCUGGUCUGUAACUGACGCUGAUGUGCGAAAGCGUGGGGAUCAAACAGGAUUAGAUACCCUGGUAGUCCACGCCAUAAACGAUGAGUGCUAAGUGUUAGGGGGUUUCCGCCCCUUAGUGCUGCAGCUAACGCAUUAAGCACUCCGCCUGGGGAGUACGACCGCAAGGUUGAAACUCAAAGGAAUUGACGGGGACCCGCACAAGCGGUGGAGCAUGUGGUUUAAUUCGAAGCAACGCGAAGAACCUUACCAAAUCUUGACAUCCUUUGACAACUCUAGAGAUAGAGCCUUCCCCUUCGGGGGACAAAGUGACAGGUGGUGCAUGGUUGUCGUCAGCUCGUGUCGUGAGAUGUUGGGUUAAGUCCCGCAACGAGCGCAACCCUUAAGCUUAGUUGCCAUCAUUAAGUUGGGCACUCUAAGUUGACUGCCGGUGACAAACCGGAGGAAGGUGGGGAUGACGUCAAAUCAUCAUGCCCCUUAUGAUUUGGGCUACACACGUGCUACAAUGGACAAUACAAAGGGCAGCGAAACCGCGAGGUCAAGCAAAUCCCAUAAAGUUGUUCUCAGUUCGGAUUGUAGUCUGCAACUCGACUACAUGAAGCUGGAAUUGCUAGUAAUCGUAGAUCAGCACGCUACGGUGAAUACGUUCCCGGGUCUUGUACACACCGCCCGUCACACCACGAGAGUUUGUAACACCCGAAGCCGGUGGAGUAACCUUUUAGGAGCUAGCCGUCGAAGGUGGGACA
rnacentral:rRNA from 1 species